AAGGCUUCAGUACGAUUAUGUCAGAACUAUAAGUCUCAAAGCCCCGACGAGUAGGGUGGCGUGCCGGUGCGCGUUGAAGGCCAAGACGUGAGUCAGGCUGGAGCCGCCGGUAGUGCAGAUCUUGGUGGUAGUAGCAAGUACUCUGGUGAACCAACCUGGAGCUGUGAGGUCUGGAUCAGGGUUCCAUGUCAACAGUGAUUGAACAUGGGUGAGUCGAUCCUAAGCCAACUGUGAAAGCAGUGACAUCCCGACAAAGGGGCAUUACGUGUGCGGCAGUUACACCCCCAAUAAGUUUCCAUCUCUCUUUCUGUGACGAUAAAAAUGCGCACACACAGUGAUCACUGAACAAAUAUGUGUGAGUGUGUGCGCUUGUCUGGUUGCGCUCACAAGCGUUGUUGCUCUCUGGAAAAAAUGGAUGGGAGAGAGAAUGAGAGACUGGGUGAGCGUAAAAAUGCCAUAACAGCAUGAGCUCCCUUCGUCUGGUUCUAUGUCUGGCGAAAGGGAAUGGGGACUUUGUUCCUUGACCGGUCCCGGCACCCUCGAUUGGUUAUGCCAAUCAAUGGUCCAUGCAAAUGGAACCAGGCCACAGCCGCUGGCAGUCGCCCGAGGAAGAGUUUUCUUUUCUGCUUAACGCACGAGGUCAUUCCUGGAAACAGUUCGGCUGGCGAAAGGGUGCCCCGCUGCGGCAGAGCGCCACGACUGUCGUGCGCGUCUCGGUGUUCCUGCCGGUCCGUGAAGACGUGGUCGAGGGGAAUGCUCUUGUAUCAACGAAACGCCCGACAAGUUCGGGACGGACCGUACCCUAUAUCCGCAUCUGGUCUCCAAGGUUCGUAGCCUCUGCAGAGUCAGACACAUGUAGGUAAGGGAAGUCGGCAAACUCGAUCCGUAACUUCGGGAAAAGGAUUGGCUCUGAGGGCCGAGCUGGGCCGGGCCUUGCCUGCAAAGCAGUACCUAUAGUGACCGGAGUUUCAGGAGUGCGAGGGGCUCUAGUAGCUGCUUGUGCGUGUGUGCGUUCGCGCGCGCGCGUGUGGGCACGAACGAGUCCACCGCUCCGCUCCAACCACGAACGGCUGUGACGGCAAGGGCUCUGGGCGGGAGCGAUCAAACCGUUUGCCUCCAGCUCGUCUGGCUGGCGGCGGUGCUCCGUCUGACCCAUACGGCUCCAGCGGCUAGCGGCUAACUCAGAACUGUCAUGGACCAAGGGAAUCCGACUGUCUAAUUAAAACAAAGCGUCGUGACGGCCCC
rnacentral:rRNA from 1 species